rnacentral:rRNA from 1 species
GACGAACGCUGGCGGCGCGCCUAAUACAUGCAAGUCGAGCGAACAGACGAGGAGCUUGCUCCUCUGACGUUAGCGGCGGAUGGGUGAGUAACACGUGGAUAACCUACCUAUAAGACUGGGCUAACUUCGGGAAACCGGAGCUAAUACCGGAUAAUAUAUUGAACCGCAUGGUUCAAUAGUGAAAGACGGUUUUGCUGUCACUUAUAGAUGGAUCCGCGCCGCAUUAGCUAGUUGGUAAGGUAACGGCUUACCAAGGCAACGAUGCGUAGCCGACCUGAGAGUGUGAGCGGCCACACUGGAACUGAGACACGGUCCAGACUCCGACUGGAGGCAGCAGUAGGGAAUCUUCCUCAAUGGGCGAAAGCCUGACGGAGCAACGCCGCGUGAGUGAUGAAGGUCUUCGGAUCGUAAAACUCUGUUAUUAGGGAAGAACAAAUGUGUAAGUAACUAUGCACGUCUUGACGGUACCUAAUCAGAAAGCCACGGCUAACUACGUG